GAGGCUCGCUGGGGGUGCCGCCGUCUGUCUGGACGACUGGCUGAGAGAGUCCCUUUGAACCUGUUGAGAUAAUCCUCGCGCAGGAAAGCGACCGGCCUUGGUG
rnacentral:ncRNA from 1 species